UGAAGAGUUUGAUCAUGGCUCAGAUUGAACGCUGGCGGCAGGCUUAACACAUGCAAGUCGAGCGGAUGAAGGGAGCUUGCUCCUGGAUUCAGCGGCGGACGGGUGAGUAAUGCUUAGGAAUCUGCCUAUUAGUGGGGGACAACAUUUCGAAAGGGAUGCUAAUACCGCAUACGCCCUACGGGGGAAAGCAGGGGAUCUUCGGACCUUGCGCUAAUAGAUGAGCCUAAGUCAGAUUAGCUAGUUGGUGGGGUAAAGGCCUACCAAGGCGACGAUCUGUAGCGGGUCUGAGAGGAUGAUCCGCCACACUGGGACUGAGACACGGCCCAGACUCCUACGGGAGGCAGCAGUGGGGAAUAUUGGACAAUGGGGGGAACCCUGAUCCAGCCAUGCCGCGUGUGUGAAGAAGGCCUUUUGGUUGUAAAGCACUUUAAGCGAGGAGGAGGCUCUUCUAGUUAAUACCUAGGAUGAGUGGACGUUACUCGCAGAAUAAGCACCGGCUAACUCUGUGCCAGCAGCCGCGGUAAUACAGAGGGUGCGAGCGUUAAUCGGAUUUACUGGGCGUAAAGCGUACGUAGGCGGCUUUUUAAGUCGGAUGUGAAAUCCCUGAGCUUAACUUAGGAAUUGCAUUCGAUACUGGGAAGCUAGAGUAUGGGAGAGGAUGGUAGAAUUCCAGGUGUAGCGGUGAAAUGCGUAGAGAUCUGGAGGAAUACCGAUGGCGAAGGCAGCCAUCUGGCCUAAUACUGACGCUGAGGUACGAAAGCAUGGGGAGCAAACAGGAUUAGAUACCCUGGUAGUCCAUGCCGUAAACGAUGUCUACUAGCCGUUGGGGCCUUUGAGGCUUUAGUGGCGCAGCUAACGCGAUAAGUAGACCGCCUGGGGAGUACGGUCGCAAGACUAAAACUCAAAUGAAUUGACGGGGGCCCGCACAAGCGGUGGAGCAUGUGGUUUAAUUCGAUGCAACGCGAAGAACCUUACCUGGUCUUGACAUAGUAAGAACUUUCCAGAGAUGGAUUGGUGCCUUCGGGAACUUACAUACAGGUGCUGCAUGGCUGUCGUCAGCUCGUGUCGUGAGAUGUUGGGUUAAGUCCCGCAACGAGCGCAACCCUUUUCCUUAUUUGCCAGCGGUUCGGCCGGGAACUUUAAGGAUACUGCCAGUGACAAACUGGAGGAAGGCGGGGACGACGUCAAGUCAUCAUGGCCCUUACGACCAGGGCUACACACGUGCUACAAUGGUCGGUACAAAGGGUUGCUACCUCGCGAGAGGAUGCUAAUCUCAAAAAGCCGAUCGUAGUCCGGAUUGGAGUCUGCAACUCGACUCCAUGAAGUCGGAAUCGCUAGUAAUCGCGGAUCAGAAUGCCGCGGUGAAUACGUUCCCGGGCCUUGUACACACCGCCCGUCACACCAUGGGAGUUUGUUGCACCAGAAGUAGGUAGUCUAACCGUAAGGAGGACGCUUACCACGGUGUGGCCGACGACUGGGGUGAAGUCGUAACAAGGUAGCCGUAGGGGAACCUGCGGCUGGAUCACCUCCUU
rnacentral:rRNA from 2 species